rnacentral:rRNA from 1 species
UACGUAGGGUGCGAGCGUUAAUCGGAAUUACUGGGCGUAAAGCGUGCGCAGGUGGUUUGUUAAGUCAGAUGUGAAAGCCCCGAGCUUAACUUGGGAACUGCGUUUGAAACUGGCAAGCUAGAGUCUGUCAGAGGGGGGGUAGAAUUCCACGUGUAGCAGUGAAAUGCGUAGAGAUGUGGAGGAAUACCAAUGGCGAAGGCAGCCCCCUGGGAUAAGACUGACGCUCAUGCACGAAAGCGUGGGGGAGCAAACAGGAUUAGAUACCCUGGUAGUCCACGCCCUAGACGAUGUCAACUGGUUGUUGGGCAACUUGAUUGUUCAGUAACGAAGCUAACGCGAGAAGUUGACCGCCUGGGGAGUACGGUCGCAAGAUUAAAACUC